AUCUUGAAACACCAGUUCCAAUACAAUCACCAAAGUUAAACAACAUUGAACAUGGUUAGUGCUUAGAUGGGUGACCGCUUGGGAAUACCAUGUGCUGUAAG